rnacentral:rRNA from 1 species
GAUGAACGCUGGCGGCGUGCCUAAUACAUGCAAGUCGAGCGAACAGAUGAUGAGCUUGCUCCUCUGACGUUAGCGGCGGACGUGUGAGUAACACGUGUAUAACCUACCUAUAAGACUGGUAUAACUUCGGGAAACCGGAUCUAAUACCGGAUAAUAUAUUGAACCGCAUGGGUCAAUAGUGAAAUACGGUUUUGCUGUCACUUCUAGAGGGAUCCGCGCCGCAUUAGCUAGUUGUUAAGGUAACGGCUUACCAAGGCAACGAUGCGUAGACGACCUGAGAGGGUGAUCGCCCACAUGAGAACUGAGACAGGGACAUGACUCCUACGGGAGGCCGCAGAAGGGAAUCUGACGCAAUGGGCGAAAGCAUGACGGAGCAACGCCGCGUGAGUGACGAAGGUCUUCGGAUCGUAAAACUCUGUUAUUAGGUAAGAACAAAUGUGUAAGUAACUAUGCACGUAUUGACGGUACCUAAUAAGAAAGCCACGGCUAACUACGUG